rnacentral:lncRNA from 1 species
CCGCCCAGCAGCUCAGCACCUCUGCAUGGUUCCUGUCCUUGCAGGUUAUCUCAGUCAGCGUGCUCAAGAGUUGGCCUUCUUUCUUUAAUGAAAGAUGGGAAAAUAGGAUAGUAUAAUCACAGGAUUAAAGAAGCACCAUAUACAAGGAAGGACAGAGGAAGAAGCAGCUGAGCCCUGACAUCCCUCCACCAACAGGAAAAAGAUUUGAGGGUUGAGGAGGAAGCUAAGAUGGGCCACUCUAGAAGACCAUUCACUCUGCAUUUAUUCUUGAAGUGAAUACAUGUAAAGACACUACCUGGGUCGAAAUGGCUAAUAUCUGGGUGGAGAAGCUUUUAGGCACUUUUCUAUAGGCUGUGCAUCCCAGACCUUUGUGAGCUGUCUUUUUGCUUGGAGGAGGAAAAAGACCUGUCCAGUCGGUCUUUUUGCUAUUCUACUGUCAGCUGUUUCUCUGCUUUCACAAAGCCUUGAUCCUGAAGUUACCACUGACUUCUGUAAAGUAUCUUCUUGGCAGGUAGUCUGCAGCCAGUAUUUGCCAGCUAUUAAACGUUCAUUGGACUAUGAUUUGAAUUGCUCUCCAGACUGGAUGGGAGGGAUGUAUUUACAAAGCAAAACUCACAGCUGGCAGGUAUGGGUCUGCAGCUUUCAGGAUCCCACCAGCCAUCCAAGUCCUUCAUCUUCUCUGGACAUGCAAAAUCUUGUAUACUCCCUCAAGGCAAAGGUCCUUAUAUGCACCCUCUUCCCCCGCCCCACCGGCUGACAUGGGAACAGCCUGUGAUAGGCACUGCUACUGGAUGCUAUUGUACCCAAAUGGUGUCGGUAUAUGAGAAAAGCAAGGCCUACACAACCCUGCCAGCCUCAAACAACACCCUCUUUCUUCGCAUUAGAAAUGGAAACACGUCCUCUGCAGGAAUUUUCCACUUAAUAGCUCCUGCUUUCCUACCGGGGGCCUCAGUGCACCACCACUGCAAUGCUGUAUUUCUUUCCACUGCAGCUUGA